CAGUAGCCGCGGGAAUACGUAGGUGGCAAGCGUUGUCCGGAAUUAUUGGGCGUAAAGGGCUCGCAGGCGGUUUCUUAAGUCUGAUGUGAAAGCCCCCGGCUCAACCGGGGAGGGUCAUUGGAAACCGGGAAACUUGAGUGCAGAAGAGGAGAGUGGAAUUCCACGUGUAGCGGUGAAAUGCGUAGAGAUGUGGAGGAACACCAGUGGCGAAGGCGACUCUCUGGUCUGUAACUGACGCUGAGGAGCGAAAGCGUGGGGAGCGAACAGGAUUAGAUACCCCAGUAGUCCCUGUCUCUUAUAA
rnacentral:rRNA from 1 species